CCAGACUCCUACGGGAGGCAGCAGUGAGGAAUAUUGGUCAAUGGGCGGAAGCCUGAACCAGCCAAGUCGCGUGAGGGAAGAAGGCCCUGCGGGUCGCAGACCUCUUUGGACGGGGAGCAAGGCCGCCGACGUGUCGGCGGAAGGAGAGUACCCGUAGAACAAGCAUCGGCUAACUCCGUGCCAGCAGCCGCGGUAAUACGGAGGAUGCGAGCGUUAUCCGGAUUCACUGGGUGUAAAGGGAGCGCAGGCGGUACGGCGAGUCUGAUGUGAAAACCCGGGGCCCAACCCCGGGACCGCACCGGAUACUGCCGGACUCGAGUGCCGGAGGGGCAGGCGGAAUUCCUGGUGUAGCGGUGAAAUGCGCAGAUAUCAGGAGGAACACCGGUGGCGAAGGCGGCCUGCUGGACGGUAACUGACGCUGAGGCUCGAAAGCGUGGGGAGCGAACAGGAUUAGAUACCCGAGUA
rnacentral:rRNA from 1 species